CGCGUAGGCGGCUUGUACAGUCAGACGUGAAAUUCCUGGGCUCAACCUGGGGGCUGCGUUUGAUACGUGCGGGCUUGAGUUCGGAAGAGGGUCGUGGAAUUCCCAGUGUAGAGGUGAAAUUCGUAGAUAUUGGGAAGAACACCGGUGGCGAAGGCGGCGACCUGGUCCGAUACUGACGCUGAGGCGCGAAAGCGUGGGGAGAAC
rnacentral:rRNA from 1 species